UACGGAAGGGGCUAGCGUUGUUCGGAAUUACUGGGCGUAAAGAGCGCGUAGGCGGCUUGCCAAGUUGGGGGUGAAAUCCCGGAGCUCAACUCCGGAACUGCCUUCAAAACUGGUAGGCUCGAGUCCGGAAGAGGGGCGUGGAAUUCCCAGUGUAGAGGUGAAAUUCGUAGAUAUUGGGAAGAACACCGGUGGCGAAGGCGGCGCCCUGGUCCGGUACUGACGCUGAGGUGCGAAAGUGUGGGGAGCAAACAGG
rnacentral:rRNA from 1 species